rnacentral:misc_RNA from 1 species
AAAAAUAUCUCACGAUUCUCUUCUCUCUCUCUCUCUCUGUACAAAAUGGAACCCAACGAAAGCCAACGCCACCACCUAAGCUCCUACUUCACCACCAUCACUCCUGCCACCACUACCCCUUCGCCGACCAAUGGCCUUCUGCCGCCGCCUCACAAUUCCGCUUCCGAUAGUGGUGGUGGUCCUCAUAUGCUGUAUCCACAUUCCGUGGGUCCAUCCUCGGCCGCUGUCACCACUGCACCAGUGGAGCCCCCAAGGAGGAAGCGAGGCAGGCCGAGGAAAUACGGUACGCCAGAG